rnacentral:rRNA from 1 species
AAACUGGGAUUAGAUACCCCACUAUGCUUAGCCCUAAACACAAAUAAUUAUAUUAACAAAAUUAUUCGCCAGAGUACUACCGGCAACAGCCUAAAACCCAAAGGACUUGGCGGUGCUUUAUACCCUUCUAGAGGAGCCUGUUCUAUAAUCGAUAAACCCCGAUAAACCUCACCAGUCUUUGCUAAUACAGUCUAUAUACCGCCAUCUUCAGCAAACCCUAAAAAGGAAUAGAAGUAAGCACAAUCACAAUACGUAAAAACGUUAGGUCAAGGUGUAACCUAUGGAAUGGGAAGAAAUGGGCUACAUUUUCUAUCUUAAGAAAAUUAUACGAAAGUUAUUAUGAAACUAAUAACCAAAGGAGGAUUUAGUAGUAAACUAAGAAUAGAGUGCUUAGUUGAAUUAGGCCAUAAAGCACGCACACACGCCCGUCACCCUC